CUUAGGGACAGUGAGCUUCGUUUCAGUCGUGGGAGUUUACACGAAUUCGAAAUCUUCGGGGAGACCUACCAUUUUGGUAACUAUACAGUCAUAUUCUAAAAUUCACGGACUUAUGAGGAAGGUUUUGUGACGGUGGAAUCCAUGCCAAAUCAUUCUUGACAAACCGGUCCGCUUGUGGAUCGUAACCGCUAAAUUAAAGCCUCUGCUAUAGGCCCUAUUCACAGGCUAAACCUUUGUGAAGAGUUGCCGUACCCAAUUCGCUGUUAAGCUACGUUUUGAGGUGGUAAGGAACAAAAACGAAUACUGAGGAUCGUAACCGCUAAAUCAAAGGUUGAUGAGAUUUCCACUUGAAACACUAGAUCAAUGGCCUCUUUAAAUUCAAGCCGAAAAUAAAGCUCUUGGUUGUGACCUUAGUGGUACCUUUAUAAUUCUUCUCACAGAAAAAAUGUGUUGUAGGCCAGUUUUGAUGAAACAGGAGUUCACUGUCAAAAUUUCAGGUAAAAUGUUUAUAAGCAUUUUUUUGGCUACAAAAAAAGGAGUAGAUGUGAGCCGAAAGUGAGUUAUUUUGGAUGGUUUUUUACGCUG
rnacentral:lncRNA from 1 species